GAUCAUGGCUCAGAACGAACGCUGGCGGCAGGCUUAACACAUGCAAGUUGAACGGGAUUAAUUGAUAGCUUGCUAUUGAUAUGAGAGUAGCGCACUGGUGAGUAACACGUGGGAACGUACCUAUUGGUGGGGGACAACAGUUGGAAACGACUGCUAAUACCGCAUAAGCCCUGAGGGGGAAAGAUUUAUUGCCGAUAGAUCGGCCCGCGGAAGAUUAGGUAGUAGGUGGGGUAACGGCCUACCUAGCCGACGAUCUAUAGCUGGUCUAAGAGGACGAUCAGCCACAUUGGAACUGAGACACGGUCCAGACUCCUACGGGAGGCAGCAGUGAGGAAUAUUGGGCAAUGGAGGCAACUCUGACCCAGCCAUGCCCGCGUGAGUGAAGAAGGUUUUCGGAUUGUAAAGCUCUUUCAGAUGAGAAGAUGAUGACGGUAUCAUCAGAAGAAGCACCGGCUAACUUCGUGCCAGCAGCGGC
rnacentral:rRNA from 1 species